GACGAACGCUGGCGGCGUGCUUAACACAUGCAAGUCGAACGGAAAGGCCCUGCUUUUGUGGGGUGCUCGAGUGGCGAACGGGUGAGUAACACGUGAGUAACCUGCCCUUGACUUUGGGAUAACUUCAGGAAACUGGGGCUAAUACCGGAUAGGAGCUCCUGCUGCAUGGUGGGGGUUGGAAAGUUUCGGCGGUUGGGGAUGGACUCGCGGCUUAUCAGCUUGUUGGUGGGGUAGUGGCUUACCAAGGCUUUGACGGGUAGCCGGCCUGAGAGGGUGACCGGACACAUUGGGACUGAGAUACGGACCAGAAUCCAACGGGAGGCAGCAGUGGGGAAUAUUGCACAAUGGGCGGAAGCCUGAUGCAGAAACGCCGCGUGCGGGAUGACGGCCUUCGGGUUGUAAACAGCUUUCGACUGUGACGAAGCGUGAGUGACGGUAAUGGGUAAAGAAGCACCGGCUAACUACGUG
rnacentral:rRNA from 1 species